GACGAACGCUGGCGGCGUGCUUAACACAUGCAAGUCGAACGGAAAGGCCCUGCUUUUGUGGGGUUCUCGAGUGGCGAACGCGUGAGUAUCACGUGAGUAACCUGCCCUUGAUUUUGGGAUAACUUCAGGAAACUGGGGCUAAUACCGGAUAGCAUCUCCUGCUGCAUGGUGGGGGUUGGAAAGUCUCGGCGGUAGGGGAUGGAUUCGCGGCUUAUCAGCUUGUUGGUGGGGUAGUGGCUUACCAAGGCUUUGACGGGUAGCCGGCCUGGGAGGGUGACCGGCCACAAUGGGACUGAGAUACGGACCAGACUCCUACGGGAGGCAACAGUGGGAAGUAUUGCACAAUGGGCGGAAGCCUGAUGAAGCAACGCCGCGUGCGGGAUGACGGCCUUCGGGUUGAGAACCGCUUUCGCCUGUGACGAAGCGUGAGUGACGGUAAUGGAUAAAGAAGCACCGGCUAACUACGUG
rnacentral:rRNA from 1 species